rnacentral:rRNA from 1 species
AGUGAACGCUGGCGGUAGGCCUAACACAUGCAAGUCGAACGGCAGCACAGUAAGAGCUUGCUCUUACGGGUGGCGAGUGGCGGACGGGUGAGGAAUACAUCGGAAUCUACUUUUUCGUGGGGGAUAACGUAGGGAAACUUACGCUAAUACCGCAUACGACCUACGGGUGAAAGCAGGGGAUCUUCGGACCUUGCGCGAUUGAAUGAGCCGAUGUCGGAUUAGCUAGUUGGCGGGGUAAAGGCCCACCAAGGCGACGAUCCGUAGCUGGUCUGAGAGGAUGAUCAGCCACACUGGAACUGAGACACGGUCCAGACUCCUACGGGAGGCAGCAGUGGGGAAUAUUGGACAAUGGGCGCAAGCCUGAUCCAGCCAUACCGCGUGAGUGAAGAAGGCCUUCGGGUUGUAAAGCCCUUUUGUUGGGAAAGAAAAGCAGCAGGUUAAUACCCCGCUGUUCUGACGGUACCCAAAGAAUAAGCACCGGCUAGCUUCGUG